rnacentral:rRNA from 1 species
CUGAGAGGAUGACCAGCCACACUGGAACUGAGACACGGUCCAGACUCCUACGGGAGGCAGCAGUGGGGAAUAUUGCACAAUGGGGGGAAGCUUGAUGCAGCCAUCCCGCGUGUGUGAAGAAGGCCUUCGGGUUGAAAGCACCUUAGGGAGGAGGAAGGUGGUGAUCUUAAUACGUUCAUCAAUUGACGUUACCGAGAAGAAGCACCG